GGCCUCUCACUGUUAUGGCCUCUCCUGCUGUGGGAUCUUCCCAGACCGGGGCACGAACCCGCAUCCCUUGCAUCGGCAGGCGGACUCUCAACCACUGCACCACCAGGGAAGCCCUUAAGAGAGCCCUCAGCAUGGGACAUGGGUCUGGCUGCUGAAAGAAGUUUCCAUGCAAAUCUCAUUCUCUAUUUUCUGUAAUCACCACCUGAAAUACAUCAUAUCCUGCUGUAGCUUCCUACAAAAGACACAUGAGAGCCGGAUAAUUGGUGGUGAACCUGCCAACGUCACUGAGGAGAAUGUUUCAGAAGUGAUCUCAGAGUUGCCUCCAUAAACAAGAGUGGCUCAAGACAGAGCAGAGGAGCAAGCUGCAGACCCAUAGUUGAGACUGAGGAACACUUCAGGAGUACAUGGUAACGUGCCAGGAGGCACCAAGAGCCACCAGAGGAACAGUCUACAUUUUCCUAUAACGAAAAUUUUACUUGCUCUCAUGUAUGGAAAACACGCUCUUUGUAUUCAAUAGCACAGAUAUAUUGCGAAGUGGAAUUUAAACGUUGCAUGAAUUUUAAGGUAAGAUAUUAGAAUGCAAUGAGAGGCUGCCUGGAGGUUGGGACAGGAUUCUCCCCUCCGCUGCUCAGGGUACUCGGGAGUAAACACUGGAGAAGCAGUGCCGCAAGCACCAGAGAUGCUGACACUGUCCUUUCACAUCUACCAUGAAGCAAAGCUACUCAUGUCCAGCAACAAGCAGGUAUAGCGAUGCCGCAUGGAGCCACUCCGAGUACUGCAGGUCACACAAAGCACACUGCUGACGCUGACCUUAGCUGGCGGGAAAAGCAAACCACAGGGGCUGGAGUCCAAAAACCCGGGUUCAAGUGCUACUCUGUCUCCUCCAGGCUCUAAGGUGCUAGACAAAGCUCUUAACCAGACUGUGAGAGAGAUCUCCCUGUAGCACCUGUCACCCCGUGGGUCCUCAAGAAAUAUUUGACUGUAGAGCUGGCCAGGCAGGUUCCACUUCCACCCACAUGCUGCACAAGGAUCUCUUCAAAGCUGAGCCCUGGGCGGAAGAGUAAAACCUUUUCACAUAGAGGUGGGAAGAGUCCUUUCUGCUAAUGGCUUAAAACAAGUCAUUUAUGUCCUCUAAGCUCAACUUCUUCUGAAGGGUGGGACUCAUAAUAACAAUACCUCCCUAAGAGGGUUAUUCUAAGGAUGAAAUGAGACGUGAAAAUCCAGGAUAAACACACCUCCUCUUAUGUAACAAUGAGAAUGAUCAUUUUUAUAAUCGUCAGCUUAUAUUUGCCUUAUGUCAAAGGUUUAUAUAAAGUUGGUUUCCAAUAAUACAUGGAGCACCUAAUUUUUUUUUUAAUUGGUUCAGGGACACCGAAAUUUUCUCUCUUUAAUUGUACCAGAAGUAAAACAAAAAUUACACUGCUCCAAAGUUGUCAGAGGAUUUUAUAACAUGGAGAACACAUUUCCCAAACCCUUCUGAAGUUAUAAUAAAAUCAUCAAAGCUUAGGAAGUUAUUAGUAAUGUACUAUUUCUAACUCUUGUGAAAAUGCGGGUUCUGCUUAAAGAAGAGAGUAGUUUAAGUCUAUUUAGUGGGUUCAGGGAAGAUGACUACAGUGGCAGUGUAAUUUUGAAUCCAAAUCUUAACAUAAAAACAUAUGGGGCUUCUCUGGUGGCACAGUGGUUAAGAAUCCACCUGCCAACGCAGGGCACAUGGGUUCAAGCCCUGGUCGGGGAAGAUCCCACAUGCCGUGGAGCAACUAAGCCCAUGCGCCACAACUGCUGAGCCUGUGCUCUAGAGCCCGCGAGCCACAACUAGUGAAUCCCACGAGCCACAACUACUGAAGCCUGUGCACUCUAGGGCCCACGUGCCGCAACGGCUGAGCCUGUGCUCUAGAGCCCGCGAGCCACAACUACUGAAGCCCACGAGCCACAACUACUGAAGCCUGUGUGCUCUAGGGCCCACGUGCCGCAACUACUGAAGCCCGUGUGCCUAGAGCUGUGCUCUGCAACAAGAGAAGCCACCGCAGUGAGAAGCCCCUGCACGACAACGAAGGGUAGCCCCCGCUCGCCGCAACUAGAGAAAGCCCACGCACAGCAACGAAGACCCAACGCAGCCAAAAGUAAAUAAAUAAAACAUUAAAAAAGAAAACAUAUAGAACAACAACUUAGCAAAAUCAAAAUCCCAUGGACAACAUUUACAUGGACGCUAGGCUGCAAGGCACCCACACAAACUUCAAAAUACAUGUGAAUGAGAACAAACCACCCACAGCCAUAAGACCUGGAUCCUAUCAGCAUGUGAGUAGGAAAAGGAGAGAGAAGCAGUGAAACUUGACAGACUUUGACAGACUUGAGAAGAGAAGCCCUAGAUAGCAAGGACUAUUUGCUGGAAAGCAUGUAGUCAGGUUUUGCCCAAUCAGGUAGGUGGUGAGUGCAAGGGGUCUGCUACAAAGACUGGAGGUGCUUAAGCAGCCCUAGAGACUGACUUGCCAGAGCUUCCUUUCAGGACAGAGUGUCACACUGAAGAGAAAUGCUGAGAGUGGAAUCAAAAUUAAGCUGGACAGAGACAGAACAACAGAUAGAGGAGGCCCAGAUAAAAGGGCCAGGGAAGGGAACAGAACCAGGAAAUCUCGUAAAGCAAGCUGACCCUUCUUAGCACUACCUGAAAACAACAGAAGAGGGAGUUUAUGAAGCUAGAAAAGCUACUCAAAGCUGUGUCUCCUACUAAAAGUUCUGGAAAGCCAUUUUAACAUAAAAAUGAGAAACAGAAAAGUGUUGAGGCCAAAUGCCUUGCAAAGUUAUUUCUAAGAAAAACAAUGAGCACCAUAAAUAUCCCUACACCAGAAAGACAUGCUCACAGAACAAAUCAAAACUAUUAUCUUCUAUCUCAAAAGAAGCGAAAAUACAUUAAGAAAGCGAUAAAGACAUGAAGUGAAAACAUUAUUAAAAUACGCUGCCACUAAGGUGGUAAAAGCCAGGAGACAAUUAGAAAUUUUCUAAAAAAUUAUUUCAGAAGUGACACUAAAAUGAAGGCAUGCAGAGCAAACAUAAUAAAACAGAUUAAGCCUUAAAAGAAAUAAAAUAUUAAAAGGAGGACAUUUUUUAUUUUUUCCCAACAAAAUUUUUUUUUAAUAUUUAUUUAUUUUUAUUUAUUUAUUUUGUCUGUGCCAGGUCUUAGUUGCGGCAUGCAGGAUCUUUUUUAGUUGCCCCAGGCAGGCUCAUAGUUGUGGCAUGUGGGCUUCUUAGUUGCGGCAUGUGGACUUCUUAGUUUUGGCAUGCGAACUCUUAGUUGCAGCAUGCAUGUGGGAUCUAGUUCCCUGACCAGGGAUCGAACCCCUGCCCCCUUCAGUGGAAGGGGACCACCAGGGAAGUCCCAAAGGAGGAAAUUUUUUAAAUAAAAAGUAAAGAAAAAGAUAAGAAACAUUUGACAGAAAAUGACAAAUAUUGGGACUCUAGAGCCUGCGUGCCACAACUACUGAAGCCCGCGCGCCUAGAGCCCAUGCUCCGCAACAAGAGAAGCCACUGCAAUGAGAAGCCCGCAAACCACAACAAAGAGUAGCCCCCGCUCACCGCAACUAGAGAAAGCCUGCAUGCAGCAACGAAGACCCAGCGCAGCCAAAAAGAAAAAAGAAAAAAAAAAAAAACAAAUAUUAAAGAUGGGCAAAGAAGAUUCAACCUCAUAUAACUGAAAUCUUUGAAGACGUGUAAAGCAAGGGGACAAAACAUAUACUAAAAAAUAUAAUUAAAGAGAAAUUUUCUUUAUAAAAAACAAUAUGAAGCUACAUAUUGAAAAAAUAUACUGUGUAGCUGAGACUCUUGACCCAGAAUUAUCAACACCAAGACAAAUUUCUAACAAAAUAGAUGAACUUUAAAGAAAAAAAAAUUCCAUUGAGUAUCCAAUCAAAACCAAAAGUGACUUAAAAGGUAAAAAAGUAGAUUAUCAUCAGGGUUUUUUUGACAGCUAUACUUUAUACCAGAAGAAAACAGAAUAAAAUAUUUAACAGAUACAAGGAAUAAAAUGUAAACCAAGGAUUUUAUAUUCUGCGAAACUGACUUUCAACUAUAAAAGGCACAAAACAACAGUUAUCAAUAUGCAAGGACUCAGAGAAUAUCGUUCUCAAGAAUCUAGAGAAGGACGAGUAUUAGACAAUCAACAUGAUUAAAGAGACAUCAUCAGUAAAGAGACAUCAGGUGGUAGACAGUAAAACAUAGUUAUCUGAAGAACUAGUAAUAAGUGAGAGUUAAAUGAAAGUAUAACAUAUAAAAGCUAUAUUCUCACAUAAUGUAGAUACAGUAUAACUAUAAAAAAUGGGAUGAGGGUGAGGAGAGCAUAUAAAAAAAUUCAGCUGUUCUUUGUAAUUAUAUUGGUGGUGGUAAUAUGUGUAUUGUUAUUCUAAGCCUGUCAUGUGUACAAUGUAGAAUAAUGUAAAUGAGUAAUUAUGAGAUACAAUUCCAUCAUCUACUGUACACUUGGGAACCAGAAAUCUUGUUAUGGAGGAAGAGAGCUAUAGAUGCAGUAAAAGUAUAAAAAAGUCUAGGUUAAAAUCCCAUAGUACUGAUUUUUAAUUGGAAAUAUCAGCAUAAUCAUUAGGUAUUUUAUCUGUAAAAUUAUAUCUAUAUGUAUAUUUAUCAAUAGAUAGUUUUCCUAGCUCUGCCGCUGAAAAGGUCAAGUAGCAAUAAGUAACCAACCCAGGAGCAAUAAGCAUUAGCACUCAGAUUGUGGUCUUGAAAUCGUAAAAGAAAUAAGGCUUUUGGAAACAUGACUGAUUUCCUAUCUGGGGUAGGAUGCAUACAAGAUGAAUGUGAACAUCUGUUAUUAAAA